AACCUUUGCUGUCUUGGGACGGAUCACCGCUGCAAGAGGGGAAGUUGCUACUGUGAUGAAUUCUGCCAUGUGGCACCAGACUGCCACCCAGACCACAGUGUCCUCUGCAACCCUGCUUCUCAGAUGACCAAGAUGGUGCUGCAGAUGGUGCUGAGGAUGGAGAACCCACCAAGCCCCGCUAGGAGCCACCUAGACUGGAUGCAGAGCAUGGGGCAAGGAGAUGAAGAAAACGAGGAAGUUAAACUUUAAAAUGAAGAGCUGAACAUACUGAUACAUUGAUUCUUUGGAGAGGAUCUCAGAACUCAUUGUACUUAACAAUUUACAGGCUAAAACCUUUGAAGAAGAAUUUAUUAUAUCCUACAAACCUGGGAGGCAGAGGUUGCAGUGAGCCAAGAUUGGGCCAUCGCACUCCAGCCUGGGCAAUAAGAAUGAAACUCUGUCUCAAAAAAAACAAAAGUUGGCCAGGGCUGGGCGUGGUGGCUCACACCUGUAAUCCCAGCACUUUGGGGGGCUAAAGCAGGUGGAUCACCUGAGGUCAGAAGUACGAGACCAUCAUGGCUAAUAUGGUGAAACCCCAUCUCUACUAAAAAUACGAAAAAAGAAAAAAA
ensembl:lncRNA MUC20-OT1 MUC20 overlapping transcript